GCCUGGGUGGCUCAGUCGGUUAAGCGUCCGACUUCGGCUCAGGUCAUGAUCUCACAGUUCGUGGGUUCAAGCCCCGCGUCGGGCU
rnacentral:tRNA from 1 species